GCUCUGGUGCCAGGAGACUGAUCCUUCCUCUGUCCAGUGACCCAAGCACGGAGGCCCUUCAGCAUCCUUCUCAAAGGCCUCACCUUCCUCACUCUGCAGCACUCCUGGUGCCCAUCUUCAUAGAACGAGAAGAGGCCUUUGCUUCUAACAAGGGCCUGCACCUCCCCGGCAUCUGGGAACGUGUACUCGAUGUGGAUGUCGUAGUGUUUCUCUACAGCAUCAAAGAACCUGUAUGUCUCCGGAUUCAACCUCCCUGUGUCAAGGCUGAAGACCCUAAAUGGCCUGCCGGUUAACUUCGCAUACUCUAUCAGAGCGACAUCCUCUGCUCCACUGUUAGACAAAACUUCAAGUUAGUAAGUAUCCUGCCCUAAGCUUACAACUAUAAAGAAAGAAACCAUUAAG
rnacentral:lncRNA from 1 species